UACGUAGGGUGCAAGCGUUAAUCGGAAUUACUGGGCGUAAAGCGUGCGCAGGCGGUUAUGUAAGACAGGUGUGAAAUCCCCGGGCUUAACCUGGGAACUGCAUUUGUGACUGCAUAGCUAGAGUACGGUAGAGGGGGAUGGAAUUCCGCGUGUAGCAGUGAAAUGCGUAGAUAUGCGGAGGAACACCGAUGACGAAGGCAAUCCCCUGGACCUGUACUGACGCUCAUGCACGAAAGCGUGGGGAGCAAACAGG
rnacentral:rRNA from 1 species